AAGUCGUAACAAGGUUUCCGUAGGUGAACCUGCGGAAGGAUCAUUACCGAGUUUCAGGCUGAAAAGUCUGUAAUUCCACACUGUGUUUUAAGCCGGAGUGCUCCGACGUCUCUGACGAGACGGACGAGACCCGGCGCAAACCAUUAUUCUCUUGAAUAAAACAAAACUUUCAACAACGGAUCUCUUGGUUCUG
rnacentral:misc_RNA from 1 species